rnacentral:lncRNA from 1 species
AGAGGCAACAGCAGACAGACAGAGGGUCGAAGGCCACUUCCCUGGCUUCAUUGGCAGUGUUGACCACUUGGCUGGUGACAACAUAGUGGGCGAAGCGAGAGGUGACUUUGCAGUUGACUUUCAAACUCCGGAUGAACACGCCAUCGACAGCCUAAAGUGAGACAUGAAGGAGCUGUGGCCUGAGACAGGGCCUCUGUCAGCGAGGGACUUCCUGUGGUACGGGGACUUGGCACUUAGCCCCAGUGCAUGGUGCCCAGAUGCAGGAAGAACAGACCGCAGGAAGACCCCUGCUCUCUGGCUGAGACCGUGCUGUGGGAUAUGAGGUGAGAUGGGAACAAGUCCCCAUUUCUAGGACCCUGGAGAGUACCCCAUGCCUAUGGCCCUGAUAGAGGGGUCCACCCCUGACAGGUUGGGGAAAGCAAGCCUGUAAAAAGGGCUCUGUCACAGACCCCUUUGCCAGGACUCUUACUCACGGUGUCCACAGCCUGUCGCUUCUGCAAAACAAAAUCAGGGUCAAGUGUGAGAGGAAAACUCAGGGGACCACCGGCCUGCCAGUUCAGGGAUGGGAGU